rnacentral:rRNA from 1 species
AUUGAACGCUAGCGGGAUGCCUUACACAUGCAAGUCGACCGGAGUGGCGCACGGGUGAGUAAUGUAUCGGAACGUGCCCAGUAGCGGGGGAUAACUCCGCGAAAGCGUAGCUAAUACCGCAUACUUUUGGCGCGGCCGCUCUCGGCUUCGCUAGUUGGUGGGGUACCGGCCCACCCAGGCGACGAUCCGUAGCUGGUUUGAGAGGACGACCAGCCACACGGGGACUGAGACACGGCCCAGACUCCUACGGGAGGCAGCAUUGGGGAAUUUUGGACAAUGGGGGAAACCCUGAUCCAGCCAUCCCGCGUGUGCGAUGAAGGCCUUCGGGUUGUAAAGCACUUUUGGCAGGAAAGCGGUACCUGCAGAAUAAGCACCGGCUAACUACGUGCCAGCCGCCGCGGUAAUAC